rnacentral:rRNA from 1 species
AGCGAACGCUGGCGGCAGGCCUAACACAUGCAAGUCGAACGAAGUCUUCGGACUUAGUGGCGGACGGGUGAGUAACACGUGGGAACGUACCUUUUGGUUCGGAACAACUCAGGGAAACUUGAGCUAAUACCGGAUGAGCCCUUAGGGGGGAAAGAUUUAUCGCCGAAAGAGCGGCCCGCGUUAGAUUAGCUAGUUGGUGAGGUAAAGGCUCACCAAGGCUACGAUCUAUAGCUGGUCUGAGAGGAUGAUCAGCCACACUGGGACUGAGACACGGCCCAGACUCCUACGGGAGGCAGCAGUGGGGAAUCUUGCGCAAUGGGCGAAAGCCUGACGCAGCCAUGCCGCGUGAAUGAUGAAGGUCUUAGGAUUGUAAAAUUCUUUUACCAGGGACGAUAAUGACGGUACCUGGAGAAAAGCCCCGGCUAACUUCGUGCCAGCCGCCGCAGUAAUAC